GUGAGGCCUUCUGAUUGGCGCCGCCGCCCCGGCAACGGAGUAGCGGAUGCCGAGAAGUUGGUCAAACUUGAUCAUUUAGAGGAAGUAAAAGUCGUAACAAGG
rnacentral:rRNA from 1 species